AUGGUUGUGGAAAGCCCCCGACGUGCUGCACCAGCAGCAGCGGAACGACACCGGCCUCGGGGACGACCACGGGGACGUGGUGCAGCGGAACGACACCGGCCUCGGGGACGACCACGGGGACGUGGUGCAGCGGAACGACACCGGCCUCGGGGACGACCACGGGGACGUGGUGCAGCGGAACGACACCGGCCGCGCGGACGACCACGGGGACGUGGUGCAGCGGAACGACACCGGCCUCGGGGACGACCACGGGGACGUGGUGCAGCGGAACGACACCGGCCUCGGGGACGACCACGGGGACAUGGUGCAGCGGAACGACACCGGCCUCGGGGACGACCACGGGGACGUGGUGCAGCGGAACGACACCGGCCUCGGGGACGACCACGGGGACGUGGUGCAGCGGAACGACACCGGCCUCGGGGACGACCACGGGGACGUGGUGCAGCGGAACGACACCGGCCUCGGGGACGACCACGGGGACGUGGUGCAGCGGAACGACACCGGCCUCGGGGACGACCACGGGGACGUGGUGCAGCGGAACGACACCGGCCUCGGGGACGACCACGGGGACGUGGUGCAGCGGAACGACACCGGCCUCGGGGACGACCACGGGGACGUGGUGCAGCGGAACGACACCGGCCUCGGGGACGACCACGGGGACGUGGUGCAGCGGAACGACACCGGCCUCGGGGACGACCACGGGGACGUGGUGCAGCGGAACGACACCGGCCUCGGGGACGACCACAGGGACGUGGUGCAGCGGAACGACACCGGCCUCGGGGACGACCACGGGGACGUGGUGCAGCGGAACGACACCGGCCUCGGGGACGACCACAGGGACGUGGUGCGGGUCGGUCAGGGCCAGUUGCAGCUGCUGUAGUUGCGGCAGCGUCGGACAGGCAGUUCCUGCUGUCUCCAUUUAGACUCGGUUAUUCUGUCAUGUAUAAAGAUCGGAGACAGGUGCAGGAAUAUGUAAUAGGGGUUUUAUUACUCCACCCAAAAUACAAUAUGCCAUGA
rnacentral:lncRNA from 8 species